CAUGCAUCAUCUCAUUAGCAACUGUCAUUAAUGCUGAUGAUAAUAGAGGUUUUUUAAUUUAUGCAUUCCAAUUAACUUAUGUUUUACCUUUCCUUUUAUUUUUACGGCUUUUCAAAUCUUCUGCCUGAUUCAUUACUUCACCCUGCAGAAACUUCUUACAUAGAACUAGCAACAUCAACAGUUCUUUUCCCCACCUCAACACUUCGUCC
rnacentral:lncRNA from 1 species